AUGCCGGAUCCAUUGGAUGACUGGAAAAGGCUAGACUACCUCCAGCGCCACAUCUCAGCCGUCAAGGACGCAAUAGACCAGGGCGCGGACGUGCGGGGCCACUUCACCUGGGGUCUGAUCGACAACUUCGAAUGGACCCUUGGCUACAGCACACGAUUCAGCCUCGUCUACAUCGACAAGACGGACAGCAACAAGCGCAAGCUCAAGAAGUCAGCCAAGUGGUUUGCCAAGUUCAACUCCGUCCCAGAAGUCUUGCUCACUGCCGGGGAUGUUGAAUUAGCUAGUAGCCUCGAUCGAUUCUGCAAUGGCAGGUGCUCGCUUGGCGUCGGGAUCACGGAGGACUGGAUGGGCUCCUUCUUGGCUUCCGGAGGGUGGCUCACCAGAUUCCGGCUCCGUAGUUUGUUUUCUUUUUCUUUAUUUUGGGCUUACCUAUGCUGUUGCGCCAGCCCGAGCUAUUUCCUGUUUGCUUGCUGA
rnacentral:rRNA from 1 species